rnacentral:rRNA from 1 species
CCUACGGGAGGCAGCAGUGGGGGAUAUUGCACAAUGGGGGGAACCCUGAUGCAGCGACGCCGCGUGGGUGAAGGAGUAUUUCGGUAUGUAAAGCCCUAUCGGCAGGGAAGAAAUUGGACGGUACCUGACUAAGAAGCCCCGGCUAACUACGUGCCAGCAGCCGCGGUAAUACGUAGUGGGCAAGCGUUAUCCGGAUUCACUGGGUGUAAAGGGAGCGUAGACGGCCAUGCAAGCCAGGGGUGAAAGCCCGGGGCCCAACCCCGGGACUGCCCUUGGAACUGCAUGGCUGGAGUGCGGGAGGGGCAGGCGGAAGUCCUGGUGUAGCGGUGAAAUGCGUAGAUAUCAGGAGGAACACCGGCGGCGAAGGCGGCCUGCUGGACCGCGACUGACGUUGAGGCUCGAAAGCGUGGGGAGCGAACAGGAUUAGAUACCCUAGUAGUC